rnacentral:rRNA from 1 species
GCUCAAAUUUGAAAUCUGGCGUCUUUGGCGUCCGAGUUGUAAUUUGAAGAAGGUAUCUUUGGGCCCGGCUCUUGUCUAUGUUCCUUGGAACAGGACGUCACAGAGGGUGAGAAUCCCGUGCGAUGAGAUGACCCGGGUCUGUGUAAAGUUCCUUCGACGAGUCGAGUUGUUUGGGAAUGCAGCUCUAAGUGGGUGGUAAAUUCCAUCUAAAGCUAAAUAUUGGCGAGAGACCGAUAGCGAACAAGUACAGUGAUGGAAAGAUGAAAAGAACUUUGAAAAGAGAGUGAAAAAGUACGUGAAAUUGUUGAAAGGGAAGGGCUUGAGAUCAGACUUGGUAUUUUGCAUGCUGCUCUCUCGGGGGCGGCCGCUGCGGUUUACCGGGCCAGCAUCGGUUUGGAGCGGCAGGAUAAUGGCGGAGGAAUGUGGCACGGCUUCUGCUGUGUGUUAUAGCCUCUGACGAUACUGCCAGCCUAGACCGAGGACUGCGGUUUUUACCUAGGAUGUUGGCAUAAUGAUCUUAAGUCGCCCGUCUUGAA